rnacentral:lncRNA from 1 species
UAGUCAAAUUGUAUAAUUUAAUUAUAAUUUCUAUUUACCGAUUCAUUAAAUAAUCCUAACUGAAAUCCUAUAAUUAAGGAUUUAACCCACAUCAAGUUCUUCCUAGGGUUUAUUUGCUUUCUGUUUUUCUCCAUACAUCGACGAAUCGACAAGCACAGAAGGUUGAAGCACACAAUAUGUGAAGAUUGUCGACUGGAGACGCACGCUUGACGGACUGAGUCCGAUUCACCUCCUUCAAUUAUCUACACUAUGUAGGAACUUGCCACCUGUAGUAAUCUUCUUAAGGGAUAUCUGACGCCUUUCACUCUUUAGGAACUGCAUCUUCUUCAUUCCGCUCAAUCUUCUUCACUCUUCAGGUAAUCUAGUCCUUUUGCUAUCUACGUCCUUCGAUCCUUUUCAGAGUUUUUUUUUUCCGACUACUACCUUCUUAGGGUUUGAUUUUUAAUGAGUCUGGUGCUGGUUUCUUAUUUUGAACGUGUUUGGAAGAAAUUGGAAGAAUUUGGAAAGCCUAGCUGUCAAAGAUGCAUGUAUUUAGAAGAUUUUGAGCUAAAUCUAUGUAUAUUUGUUUCCAUAUAAGUGAUCCGGAAGAAAUAUGUAAUUCUUUCAUUUACCAUCCUUGUUCAUGAGUUGUUCAGAAAUAUGGUUAAUUAGAAGUUCAAAUGGGGCAAUUUCUUUGAAAAAACAACUACAUCUUACCUGGGUUUCUUGACAAUGAACCCAAUCUGCAAGUUAUGAAUUUUAAGCCUCCCAUUCUUUAUUUCAACAUUGAUUGGAUUAUUUUUAAAGAACUUGUUGAUGAUUUAUCAAGUUUAUGAAAAGGCUGCUAUAAAAUACAAUUAGACGAGCAGCUGCCACCAAGUAUAAACUUAGCUCAUAAUGAGGGGCUAAGUUAUAUGGCUAAUAAUGGAGAUACAAAUUAGUAUAAUGAAUGUAACUUUUUGGUAUAUGUGCUGAUUUAUAACUUGUAUCAUGGGCUAUACCUAGCAAUCUUGGAUUUGAAUCUUUAUAUUAGUCCCUCCCUAUUUUCCAGGAGGUAACAACUGAAAUGGAAAUUUAUAUGAAGUUUGCCGCCUCUCAAGUGUUUGUUUGAGGAUAAAGUAACAAGGUUAAUGCUAUAAAAUUUUGUGAACUUAAUUCUCAUCAGUCUUGUUCGUAGUUAUGAGAAAUAUUUUUUUAUACCAUUUCAAAUUGAACAAUACUCAACAACUAUAGAAUUAAGAAAUUAGAGGGGUUACUGGUUUUUCCUGUUCACAAGGUAAUUUGAACGUGUUUUUUUAUAUUUUUCAUUCUCUUGAAUGUUCUUGAGCUAUUUUGCACCAUAUGAUCUCUUAUGUAUUUUUGUGUAUUUAGGUUCAAACUUGGAGAGGUAAACAUAGAGGAAUGAGAAAACCAUCAAAAAGAAAAAGGAGAUUCUUCAAGAAUGAUGACAAAUUCUUCAAGAAUAAUGACAAACUGUUAAAGAAUGUACUAUAUAUCAUGACUUUUUGUAAAUUCUUCAAAAAUGAUGAUAGAUUCUUGAAAAAUGUAGUAUAAAAGGUUGUGUACAUUCUUUUAAAUGUUGUAUAUUUUCUUGUUUUAUGUCAUUUAUUCCCUUUCUUAACCAUUCUUUCUCAAUCUUUCCUAUUUUUAUAAAAUAUGAUAUAAAGAAUACAAAGAUUGCACCUAAUUCUCACAGAAUACUUCCUUUGUGAAAUUCUGAUUUUUUUUAUUACUUUUUAUAAUAUUCUCAAGUAAAUUUGCCAAAUUCGCAAUAGAAAUUAUUGUUAUUUUGAUGCAAAUUGUUAUUAUUGAAAUAUUUAUACAAGUGUAUUAUUUAAGAAUGACAGUUCUCAAUCCAUCACAAAACUACAAUUAGAUUCUUUAAGAAUGAAAGACCUAUAUGUGUUCAUGAUUAUAU